rnacentral:lncRNA from 1 species
GGCUGCAAGUUGCUCUUAAUAUUCUCCACGGCCUCUCGUUCACAGUCCAAAGCCAGAGGACCUCUGAAGGCUCAGGUGGAAGAUCUGAGGAAACAGCUCAAGGCCAAGAGCGGGAUUAUUCAAAGUCUGAAAGAGGAAAUUAAGACUCCUUUGUUCCAGCAUGCACAAAAGAAGAAUGAGGUGCACGAUUAA